GAUUACAGCACCCUUUUUCAGAAGCCACUGCACUCUGCAGCCAAAGCACAGGGAGGUUGCACACGGCCUUCGCACAGGAACUGUUCCUAAAAACACCCACCCCAGAAAUGUUGGUGAGGAAUCUGUGCAGCCCUGCUCUCCAGGAACUGGACUCCUGUGUUUAAAACAAAAACUGUUGGCAUCCGUCAGGCAGCUCAAAAAAGCAGCUUCAGUUCUUGUUUUCUUCUUUGCCCCUGGGAGCAGGAACUUGCAGCACGGAAGGAGGAGACUGUGUAAUAAAAAGGAGACAGGAAGGUCUCCAGUAGGCUCUGAGUCCUAAAGAUAGCAAUGAAACUAGCAUGAAGGGAAGGAGGAAAUCACCCUCCCACAUAAGAGGAAACCCCAAAAUAAAACCUUUUGGCAGAUGGUAAAGGCUUUAGUAUUCAAUAAAAAGAAUGAGCUGCAUGAGAAUGCAAGAGCUGUAAAGGAGACACAGAAAGCCCAAACAAAAGACAUAUGAAGAAACUUGUUUUUUUCAGUCACCCUUUUGUAUCACUAUUCCAUUUUUGAUAGGUUUUACUGGCUUUUCUAUUUAAUUGAAACUAUGCAUAAAUUAAUUAUAUGAAACAGAAUAAAUUUUCUGAAUUAUACGGUAAAAGUUCAGUUCCUAGUGAGCAUUCCAUCUGGGGCUCUCGGCCUGGUCCUGGACUUCCUGUUGAAGACUGGAUCCAGCUCCACAGAGGCAACAAACCCACAAUCAUAAAAAAAUAAUAAAAAUUAUUUGAUAUUUGUAUCAGGUUUAACCGUAUCCAGAUGAAAGAACUUGGAGGACUAAGAUCUGUCUGACUGCAGUUAUUAAAGCACCCAUGUCUGAGGUCAAAGUGGAAAGAAAACAAAAACCAUAGGACUUUGGAGGACUUAGAGGACUUAGAGAGUAAACUUUAAGAACAGAAGCUUUUCAUCACUGAAGAAGGCAAAAUCAUUCCUGACGAAAGAGAUCCAGUCCUCUUGUGUAGCUGAACAACUAUGGCAAGUCAGAGUCCUGACACAUUAUAUCAGUCUAGCUGGAUAUAAUGCACUGUCCCAUUCCCAAGCCUGGUUAUUUUCUGAUCAGGUUGUCUUCAGGUGGAAGCCAUUGAUUAAACAAAAUGUACGUAAACAAACUUUUCCAACAAUUCUAAGACGUGGAUGAAAACUUAGUGGGAUUGAAGAGCUUCAGAACUGUGAUAUUGCCAAGUACAAACUGCCCAAAACUCAACUUAUCACUCUGACCCUGAGAAAAAUAUUCGAAGAUUGACUCAAUGCCCUCCAGGUGAUACCUUUGGAAAAACUGAAGUUCUUACAGAGCUGCUCACUGCAGAUUUUCUCAAUGUAUCUUUUCUUCGUACAGGUAACUUCUAAUAAUUCAUGUGACUGGCAUGGACUUUUACUGAUAAAAAUAUUUUUCAAUUUUAAGAUUAUACAAUAGAACUGUAG